rnacentral:lncRNA from 1 species
GCCUACAGGAGCAACAACGGCUUCAACCCGCGCUGGGAGGAGACGCUCACCUUCCAGCUGCAGGUCCCUGAGCUGGCGUUGGUGCGCUUUGUGGUGGAGGACCACGACAGCACCUCCUGCAAUGACUUCGUGGGGCAGUUCACGCUGCCGCUGGGCAGCAUGCGGGAAGGUGGGUGCCCCCCUACUGGGGGAAGGCACAACCCUGUGUCUCCUACUCAGUGUCUGCUCUGUCCCCAGGGUACCGCCACAUCCACCUGCUCUCCAAGGACGGCGCAUCCCUGUCCCCUGCCACGCUCUUUGUGCACGUCACAUGCAGAUGCCCAUGAGGUCCCCAUGGCCAACGCGCUCCUCCAUGGUGUUCAGGAUGUCCUGCAGGGACAGGAUGGGGACACUGCUCUCCAGCCAGGGUGACAGCAGGGCUGCCUGGGGUCCCCAGUGGGGUAGGGGACCCUGUCUGUGUCCCAUUUGCUGGCGCUCACACCCCACUUUUCCCCUCUGGCUGAGACCAGGAGAUGGGGACAUGGUGACAAGCAGGACAGGGUGGUCCAGCCACCACAUUCCCAUUGCAUCUGCAGGGACAUGAUGGUGACAGCAACUUCACCAACUCCAUCCUGACUCCUUUGGGCUGCAGGGAUGGUGCCUGCCACAAUGUCCCCAAGGGGACUCUGCCACCACAGCCAUGGCGCUGACCUUCUGUAUGGUUUGGUGCCCAAGAACCAUUGACAGAUUUGUACCCAGUGCCCAGUGGGUCGAAUAAAGGUUUAUUGAACAGCCUGCCCCGCGUCCCCAUCACUUGCUGUCACCUGCAGGGGGGGUGGCUUUGGGGACGAAGGGAGGAGAUGCAGGGGGAAAUGGCUGAGCCCCCUUUUCUGAUGCUCUCCCCAGUGCUGGGGGCUCGUUGGAGCCUGAUUCACCCCACUGUCCCACAGCCCCAGAAAGUCCCACGUGCUCCUGGCUCUGUGCUCGUAGCUGAUGUCCCCAUCACCACUGCAGGGCGGCUCUUGGCUCUGUGGGGCACAGGAGGGGACGUAGAGCUGCUUGCAUAGUAGGGGGACAGGGACACUGGGAGUGCAUAGAUGGGCGUGUGCAGCUUUGGAAACCUUUGGCGUGGAGAUCGAGAGCGAUGGAAACAGAUGUCUUCUUGGGAAAAAGGGUCCCGUGGAAGAAUCCAAUCCUGAUUCUGAGCCUGUGCAGGAGGCACUGGGGCAGUGGGAAAGGCCGAGCCCCCAGGAAGGCUGAUGGCACGUUGUAGGGCACGCAGGCCAGACUUGGAUGGCGUGGAGAGAAAAGCAUCCGAGCACAGCACGCCGAGGUGGCAUGGGGUGGCAGAUGAGGAGGUGUUCCAAGCUGGGUCCCCUGCAUCUUCGCCCUGGUGAGCACUGAGGGUUCGAGUCUCCGAGGCUGGGGAGGAGAAGGGACAAGGCAUUGCUUGCACAAAUAGCCCUUAAAACCAAACAUCGAGGUGUUCCCAAGCAGGGAGGGAUGGCACCAAGGAGGAGGUGGUGGCCUUCAG